GGAGGGUGGUCCCUUCGACUUCAAAAGAUGAUUUCCAGGGCUGGUGCUACUGCCAACCAUCACAGGCAUAUUCAGAAGAGAGGUUCUCUCUCCAAAAUUGUGUAGGAGAGGCCUUCUACCCUAACUCAGAAGCUCUGUGUGCUCCUGAUUUUUGAUGCCCAAGUCCUUCUAGAGCUCCUUCUGCAUGAAUAGAAGAACCUGGAACUUGAACUAUGCUGAGGACCAGAUAAGACUGCCAUAAACACCUCCACAUAUAUGCCUAAUAUAGUACACCCUUUAGUAGACUGCAGUGUAACAGUUUUGAAAUCCAAUCUUGUGUAAAGGACAUGUACUCAAGAUCUGGCUACCUAACACUGCUCCUCUUGGGAUAAGGCCUUGAUCAGUCUUCUGCAUCCAAGAUUCUUUGACAGAGCACCAACCUGGCCUGGUCAAAGCCCAUUGCUGUUAAGGCUUGCGAUGAUAAACCAUAAAUCGCCCAGAGACGUAAGUUUUGGGCAGUAUAAAAAUAUAUUAAAUAAAAUAAUAAUAAAUGCUCAGGAGACUUAUAGGGCAAUAAUUUGCAGAACAUUCCUCUGAAGCUGCUGUUUGCCCCGAAGUGGAUAUUUGCAGCAAAUUGCCUUUUCAGUGAGCUGUGUCGAUACUGAAUUCCAUUGAAACCUUCACCUUCUCUGCAGGCACAGUUUCCUGAAACCUGCCCAUGAUGAGUGCCAUUGAAUAGGUUAUUGUAUAGGAAAAGAGAUUUAUACAUCUAGCAGCAUCCAAGACAAUAAGAACUGAUCACUUUUGAAAAUAUA